rnacentral:tRNA from 1 species
CCAGCCAUAGCUCAGUUGGUAGAGCGGAGGACUGUAGAGUAUGAGCUGACAUCCUUAGGUCGCUGGUUCGAAUCCGGCUGGCUGGA